UACUGUGGCUAUAGCGAAGGGGAAACACCUGUUCACAUCCCGAACACAGAAGUUAAGCCCGGCUAGCCGCCGAUGGUACUUUACUGGUAACGGUAUAGGAGAGUAGGAGCCUGAAAUAU
rnacentral:rRNA from 1 species